CCAAACAGACAUUUCUUUCCAUUUUUUGUCUAAUUCAGGAUAAAAAUCCCUUUUGCCCCAAACAGCCAUCUCUUUCCAUUUCUUCUCUAAUUCGGGAUCUGAACUACGCUUGCCCCAAACAGCCAUUUGUUUCCACCUCUUCUCUAGUUCAGGAUCGACAUUUCUUUUGCCCCAAACAGACAUUUGUUUCCACUUCUUAUCCAGCUCUGGGUUAGCACCACUCAUUUGAGAACCCUCCCACACAAUUCCUGGGUACAAAUAAUCCAUGUCCUGGUGAUUGGAUAACAAAUCUGCUUCUCUUUUGCCCCAAACGGACAUUUCUUUCCACCUCUUGCUCAAGGCAUCAUCGUCCUGAGACCUUUUACCCCAAGAACGAAACUGGGACCAGUGCCUUUUCUCGUUUGGCUGGUCGCCCACAUUUUCAGCUGACGCCGAAGUUGAUGACGGAUCUUCGACUGCUUCGUUGAGCUGAAGAGUUCUGUCGGCUAGCGCCGUGUCUUGUAACAAGCAGAUGAGAAUGACGUGGCACAAUGUCAAUGCAAGUGUCAUAGUCCGCGUGGCUGCCAUUGUCCAGGAAAAAUGCAUCUCAGGCUCUUUUUGAUUACCU